CAAAUAUCCUCAUUCUUAUCCGCCUCCGUUUCUCUCUUCCUCUCUUGGCGAUUCAGAAACACGAAGCUAUCUUCACCAGAUCUGUUUGAGAUUUUGCUUUUUUCGGCUGCUAUUGAUGGUGGUUGUCUGGUUAAGUUGGCAUUCCGACCACUCGACAACCGUAAGAUCGACGGAGAAGAGGUGCAACUGACACUUUUAGAUCUACGGCCCCCAAACCCUAAUGCGUUCAAACAUUCAGAUCUGGUAUAAGAUCGACGGAGAAGAGAUGCCACAGACACUUUUAGAUCUACGGCCCCCAAACCCUAAUGCGUUCAAACAUUCAGAUCUGGUAUAAGAUCUGCUGCUCACAAACCCUAAUACGGUCAAACUUUUAGAUCUGGUAUAAGGUGAUGAGUUUGUUGCAAAACAUGACUUAACGAAGAUGAAUCAUGUGGUUUGUUCGAAGCCUAGGCAAGUCAACCUCUUCAGUUCCACCUUGAACGGGCCUGCUAUGAAUUGAAGAUGACAAAUGUGCUAUCAGCCAGCUGGACUUAUAUGAAUAUAAUUCAGGCCCAGACUGAGCAUGAAUUUAUGCACAAUAUUUCUGAGGAGGUCUGCUCUCAGUUACAUUCUGGAAAGUGCUCCGUUCAAUGAUAGCCAAAAAUGGUGUAAGAAAUUCACUACUUGUAGCACCAAUGCCAACUGCUUCAACAAGUCAUAUUCUUGGAAAUAACGAGUGUUUUGAGCCCUACACUUCCAAUAUCUACAGCCGUCGGGUUUUAAGUGGUGAGUUUGUUGUGGUGAACAAGCAUUUGCUGCAUGAUUGACAAUCUCACUAAGGUAAUGGAGAUCUCUGAUUGAUAAUCUCACUAAGAGUAUAUCCCGCUAAUUGGAUCGGAUGAUGCAAGAUACACUUUGUUGGGAGUGCCCAACUUUGAAUAAUGAAGCGACUUCUUUUUUUGAUCGAGCCAAGCUUAUAAAAAGUGAAUUUGGAUCGAGCCGGUGAGAUAUCGAAGGAGAUUAUGUCGGUUCGAAAGACGAUCGAGCAGGUGAAGCUUGUGACGAUGGAAGCUCAGAUGGUUGAAAAUUCUUUAGGCAUACAUGGAGAUGAGAUAUUGUAUGUUGGCGAUCGUAUAUAGCCAGAUGUGAAUCAAACUGUUACCAAGGGUGAAUAGCAGCUCAUCGAAGGUGAAUGGCAAAUGACUUGGAGUUCACAGGUAUUUGCCAUCUCAGACGGCAGCUAAUGAAGUAGCAUUCCAGCAGCAUCCGGAUUCCCCAAUGACGAUUUCUAGGAAUAUAACUGAAAGUGAUCAUGAGAUGUCAGUGGAUAAUAGAAGUGGUUUGGAUUCAAAGGAGUUAUUGACGGUUCCGGAUAGUAACGCGGGUGAGCUGGCGGUGGUCCCCAUGAGGAAGCCAAAGGGAGCUGAGGUGGCACAACGCAGGAUUCGUCGUCCGUUUUCUGUUUCCGAAGUGGAAGCUUUAGUCAAAGGUGUUGAGAAGCUUGGAACAGGAAGUCUGGUGGACAGUCGUACCUGGUUUCUUAGGAAGAAGAGACGGACUUCCAUCGAACGCAGCAUGGAUCGAAUUCGCUUACCAUCCUUUUCGUGGGAAUCAUCUUUGGCAUACUUUGAAUCUAAAGGUUUAGAUGUGCAAGACAUGGUUACACUCUUAGGAGCACAUAUGAUGAGAAGAGUUCGAUGCAUUAACAUUCAUGAUUGCCUAUACAACUUCAACAACACUAGAAAACCCGACCCCACAAUGGAAGAAUCUACAUUGAGUUACUUAAGGAACGGAUGCCCUCCAAAAACGAGGUUGGGUCAACCUAACCCGCUCAUAAACUUAAACCCGAGCAACCUGGACCAGCUCUUUACCAACUCCUACUACUCGCAAGUGUUGACCAAUAAAGUUGUUUUAGGCGUCGACCAACAGCUUCGCUAUGGGGGUGACACGUAUGUUAAGCGAUGAAUAUGCUUCGCCGAUUCCAGAUUUUAAGCUGCAGUUUACUUUUUCAAUGGCUGGGAUGGGUGGGCUUAAGGUUAUAACUGGAACUGAUGGUCAGAUCCGACUCAACUGUCGAAUGGUUAACAAGUAGAUUGAUUGUGGUUAUUUUGUUAUUAAUAAAUAGUUGGAUUGUGUUCCAUUAAUGAAAAUCAAAAUCUAAUUCUCUGCUGCUGAUAUAUAAGAAUUGUAAUGAGUUCUUUAAUUCUA